rnacentral:rRNA from 1 species
UACGUAGGGGCCUAGCGUUGUCCGGAUUUAUUGGGCGUAAAGAGCUCGUAGGCGGUUCGGUAAGUCAGGUGUGAAAUCUCCACGCUCAACGUGGAGGGGCCACCUGAUACUGCCGUGACUCGAGUCCGGUAGGGGAGUGUGGAAUUCCUGGUGGAGCGGUGAAAUGCGCAGAUAUCAGGAGGAACACCCGUAGCGAAGGCGGCACUCUGGGCCGGAACUGACGCUGAGGAGCGAAAGCGUGGGGAGCGAACAGG